GACGAACGCUGGCGGCGUGCUUAACACAUGCAAGUCGAACGGAAAGGCCCUGCUUUUGUGGGGUGCUAGAGUGGCGAACGGGUGAGUAACACGUGAGUAACCUGCCCUUGACUUUGGGAUAACUUCAGGAAACUGGGGCUAAUACCGGAUAGGAGCUCCUGCUGCAUGGUGGGGGUUGGAAAGUUUCGGCGGUUGGGGAUGGACUCGCGGCUUAUCAGCUUGUUGGUGGGUAGUGGCUUACCAAGGCUUUGACGGGUAGCCGGCCUGAGAGGGUGACCGGCCACAUUGGGACUGAGAUACGGCCCAGACUCCUACGGGAGGCAGCAGUGGGGAAUAUUGCACAAUGGGCGGAAGCCUGAUGCAGCAACGCCGCGUGCGGGAUGACGGCCUUCGGGUUGUAAACCGCUUUCGCCUGUGACGAAGCGUGAGUGACGGUAAUGGGUAAAGAAGCACCGGCUAACUACGUG
rnacentral:rRNA from 1 species